rnacentral:rRNA from 1 species
ACUCAAAUGAAUUGACGGGGGCCCGCACAAGCGGUGGAGGAUGUGGUUUAAUUCGAAGCAACGCGAAGAACCUUACCAAGACUUGACAUGGGAGUGACUGCACGAGAAAUCGUGCUUUGUUAGUUUACUAACACGCUCCACACAGGUGCUGCAUGGCUGUCGUCAGCUCGUGUCGUGAGAUGUUGGGUUAAGUCCCGCAACGAGCGCAACCCUCGUUUUCAGUUGUCAUCAGGUAAUGCUGGACCCUCUGGAGAGACUGCCGCGUAUAACGCGGAGGAAGGUGGGGACGACGUCAAGUCAUCAUGGCCCUUACGUCUUGGGCUACACACGUCCUACAAUGGUCGGUACAGCGGGUUGCGAAGUCGCGAGACGGAGCUAAUCCUCAAAGCCGGCCUCAGUUCGGAUUGCAGUCUGCAACUCGACUGCAUGAAGUUGGAAUCGCUAGUAAUCGCGGGUCAGCACACCGCGGUGAAUACGUUCCCGGGCCUUGUACACACCGCCCGU